UUAUAAUUAAAAGUUAAUUAAAAAGAAAUUAAAUGAGUUCAUUAAAUUUAAAUAAUUUGGCGGUAUUUUAAAUAGUUAGAGGAAUUUGUUAAUUAAAUGAUAGUCCACGAAUGGAAUGUCCUAAAGGGUUUUUAUGUAUUGUUGUAUAAAAAUUAUUUUAAAAGAAUUAUGAUUGAAAAAUUUGAUAUAAUUUGAAUUCAAAUCAAAAUGUAGAAUUUUUAGGUUUAAAUGAAUUACAUUUUAAUUUAAUAUUGGAGUUAUUUUUUUAAUUAAAAUAAUUACAUAGGAUUUAAAAGUAAAUUUAAAAAAAUAUUUAGAUUGAAAUAAUAAUUAAAAUAUG
rnacentral:rRNA from 1 species